CUUUUGACCCCAGACUUGACCCCAGACGAGAUGGAGCACUUGCUGAGUCAUUUCCUGUAGGGCUGGAGCCACAGGUUGAAGCGUAUGCGUCCUUUGAGACCCCUUUGAUGUAUAAGAGACCCCUAGAUACAGCUUACUUACAUUUUCUCGACUCAGUCACCUAUUGCAUCAUUUCCUUUAGGGCUUCGGCCUCCUAAUUGAUCAUUGUAGUAUAAUUGAAUGCCCUCUUUCAUAUAUAUGAUACCUCCACCACUGGGACGUUAGCCUGGCUCCGCCCGCCUAAGUACUUCCGCUCAAUUUGAAUUUCCCUUCAGUACUAGGUCUGGACCUGCUGUAUGUAAUUUGGUUUUCUGGUGCCGCCACAGCGGCCCCCAAACAGCGAACAGAGGACGUGUCUGAGAACAAUGACGAUAAAGUCGUGCGCCAGUUUGAGUUGUUGUUGUAGAUCGGUAGUCAGAAGACAAUGGAGAACGAUGCGAGCGAAGCUAUUCGGUCUGUUGUGGCAAUGCUGCCGAAUAUUGAGAAGUUAAAGCCGGAGCAAGAACAAGCUUUGCUGAGUUUUGUUGGUGGACAUGAUGUUGUGGCGCUUCUCCCCACGGGGUUCGGGAAAAGUUAAAUUUUCCAGCUGGCUCCGUUAGUGGUGAAGGAGUUGGGUAAGGCGAAUGCUGGCGAUGCUAAGCCGAUAGUUGUUGUAGUCUCCCCUCUCGUUGCACUAAUGGAGGACCAAGUGAAGGAGGCAGAACAGUUGGGAGUUCGUGCUGGGCAGCUCGGCGUGCAUGAUGACCAUGACAUUUUGGAUGGAAGCUUGAGUCUGGUGUUCAGCAGCCCCGAGUCCUGGCUGCUGAACAACAAAUGGCGACGAAUGCUAGCCUCAACCAUAUACCAGGAAAACCUCAUUGGUAUCGUCGUAGAUGAGGUCCACCUUACGUAAAAAUGGGGCGAGGCUUCCAAAGGCGAGUCGGCAUUCCGAGAGAGUUUUGCCAAGCUCGGAGAGCUAAGAUCUAUAGCCAAGGAGGGUGAGUUGAAUGCACUGGCCUUUGUUGCUCCUACCUUACAUGUUGUGAAAUAUCUCAUUUCAGUGAUGUUGAUAGGUUUUCAAUGUAGUGAGUCCCCGGGACCCACAGGUGGCGAGUUGGGUGGGUCCCUGAGAAAUUCAAUGGGUCCCGACUCCCCAGUUUAAAAAAUGCGUUUCUUUUUUAUUAUUAUUCUAUUUCUUAAAUUAAAUUAAUAGUGUUAAACUCCUUGAUGGUG
ensembl:lncRNA